GAUGAACGCUGGCGGCGUGCUUAACACAUGCAAGUCGAACGGGGGUUGAGGGACGGAACCUUUCGGGGGGAAGGCCCUUGACUCGAGUGGCGGACGGGUGAGUAACACGUGAGUAACCUGCCUUUUGCUGGGGAAUAACUGUGGGAAACCAUGGCUAAUACCGCAUGUGGUGUUCACGGGGCAUCUUGUGGACAUGAAAGGAGCAAUCCGGCAGAAGAUGGGCUCGCGUCCGAUUAGGUAGUUGGUGGGGUAAGGGCUCACCAAGCCUGCGAUCGGUAGCCGGACUGAGAGGUCGAACGGGCCACAUUGGGACUGAGACACGGCCCAGACUCCUACGGGAGGCAGCAGUGGGGAAUUUUGGGCAAUGGGGGAAACCCUGACCCAGCGACGCCGCGUGAAGGACGAAGGCCUUCGGGUUGUAAACUUCUUUAGGGAGGACGAAGAUGACGUACCUCCAGAAUAAGCCACGGCUAACUACGUGCCAGCAGCCGCGGUAAGCACGAGAGUA
rnacentral:rRNA from 1 species